UUCUAUAAGAAAUCAUUAAUAGUAUAAUCUGCUCAAUGAUAUUAAAUAGCCGCAAACACUUGUGCUAAGGUAGCAUAAUCAUUCGUUUUUUAAUUGAAAACUAGAACAAAAGAUUAAACAUUUUAAUUUUUUUCUCAAAAUUAAAAUUUUAAUUUAUCUUAAAUAUAAAAAGAUAUUUAUAAAAAAGAAAGACGAUAAGACCCUAUUGAACUUAACUAAUGUUAAACUGGGGCAGUUAAUUAAUUAUUAUUUUAAUUUUAAAAUUAAAAUAAAAGACCUAAUAUUAUUAAUUUAAUAAUCAAGUUACCAUAGGGAUAACAGCGUAAUAAUUACCUAAAGCUCUUAUCCAAAUAAUAGAUUGCGACCUCGAUGUUGAAUAAUAACCUAUUAUUACGCAAAAGUAAUAUAAGGAAGUCUGUUCGACUUAUAAAUAAUUACA
rnacentral:rRNA from 1 species